UAUUAACUUCAGAAUCAUAGUCGGGGGCA
rnacentral:piRNA from 1 species